CCGCCGAACAGACAAGUCAGAAAUUUCUAAAAAAUAAGUCAGUGAACCAUAAAAGUUAAUUUUAUUAGUGAAUUAUGAAAAAAAAUUUUGACCUAACAAAAAGUUACUGGUUUAAUUUGAUAAAACCGUGAGUCCAGCAAAUUGAUUAAAUUCUAAACGAAAUCAAAACGUGAGUCAGAAAAAAUCAAACUAUUAGUGAAGCAGAG